rnacentral:rRNA from 1 species
UACGUAGGUGGCAAGCGUUAUCCGGAUUUAUUGGGCGUAAAGGGAACGCAGGCGGUCUUUUAAGUCUGAUGUGAAAGCCUUCGGCUUAACCGGAGUAGUGCAUUGGAAACUGGGAGACUUGAGUGCAGAAGAGGAGAGUGGAACUCCAUGUGUAGCGGUGAAAUGCGUAGAUAUAUGGGAGAACACCAGUGGCGAAAGCGGCUCUCUGGUCUGUAACUGACGCUGAGGUUCGAAAGCGUGGGUAGCAAACAGG